ensembl:lncRNA
UGCACACAAAAAAGUUACGGGACACUGAACUGUAUGCUGUUUGUGGAAAAUGCUCUAUCCAGUUACCUCUUGACCCCUAUGAGGACAAAAGCAAUGAGACACACAAACUUUGUGAGUUAUAGCUGUUUGUGCACUGUGAAACGGAAGUUUCCACCCCAGUAAUUCCCGAAUGGAGGGAAAAAAGGAAAAAGUGUUUGUGUAAUUUUUCUUCUUUAUGAGUUACAAAGUCAUACACACAUGCAUCAAAUGAAAUAGCUUUUCACUGGCACUCAAUAAUGGACACAAAAUCCUUCUUGCGGCUGCUGUGGGAUUGAUGUUGAACUCGCACUGGGACAGAUGUCUUUGUCUGGUUUUGGGGCAGUGGAGUGUUAAACGGCCCCGGCAAGAGUGGCUCCCCCCACACACACUCACUGCCAGCCGAACCAAAUUGUACUUUAACUCCAGGAAAGAUGAAAUGCUGCCUCUCAUGAGGGUUGCUGUCUAUCCGGCAUCUCGCCGACAUUUAUGGAAGAAGAACUCGCCGUUGCAUGGCUUCCGCUCGACUGACAAGCUCUGAAAAAAGCAAAGCAUAUCACGACUGUCAAGAGCAGCAAGUUCUGCUCUGAAACUGCACAGCAGGACCAGAUCUGAUCUUCAGCAUUAACUUGCAGUUCUGAAAAUGGGUAGGUGAAACAAUUCAGAGUGCCCUGCCCGGUCAGAACAGAACCAAUCCAGGUGACAUCAAACUCUCCCUGAAGGCAACACACGCACAUCAGUGCAGAAAACAACAGCACUUUGCAUCAUCAGCAAACAAGAGCAAGGUUUGAGAGCUUUCUGAAAGACAGUCCCAUGUUGGUUUUGGUAGCUUUGCUGUGGAAAUCCAGUCCAUGCUAAAACAGUCCACUGGAGUGAACCGUCGCAUGCGUCUUCAUCAUACAAUCAGAAAUGCAGACAAGAGCACGUCUUUGCUAGAAAGCAUCAUGGGGGGAAUUUGCACAUACAGUCAAUGCCAGGAGGUUUAGCCGAGGAGUACGGCAAACUGUUUUUCUUAAGUGUUACCAACCUAAGUGCUCCCAAAGAUUCCAAUAGAGUCUGUCACGGCGGAUCCGGCCCUCACAACGCAAGAUAAAAUGGCUCAUAAAAGUGCAGGCAAGUGAGCCCAUUUGUGUCUAUUAGAGAGAAAAGUUCCAGCAAGCCAGUCAUUGCUUGUCACUGUGGAGAUUCCUGCGGGAAUGCACUCUCUCCACCUGCGGCUAGCGCGUUAUUAUUUUACCUCCUUCCUUCUUUAUCCCUUUCUGUGAACUCAGAGGAGAAUGCAAGCUCUUCUUCUUUUGAAGAAGAGAAAUGUAUGUGUUUGCUCUUCUCUUAACAGCUAAAUUAGGCCGUGGACUGUGAGUGUGUAGGAUCCUGGAAACACGGAACAAAUGGAAUUAUUUGCCAGGACUUGUCUGAUCACACCGUUAUCUGGAUCUACAUUCCUUCUUUCAACUAGUAGGCCUAUAAGUACUGACAAGUAUAUAUGUUAUACUUAACUGCCAUUCUGUACUACAUUUAAAAACUACAUUUAAAAUAUAAUAAUGAUAAUAAU